rnacentral:sRNA from 1 species
UUAAACUGAAAGUGCCAAGACCCUACAUC